AAGAACUAAGAAAUACUCUGAAAUUCUUAAAAGAUUUUAUAUUUUACAUAAAGAUGGGCAAAACUUCGAUUAUGGCAGUUUUUGUUAUUGCUUUCUUGAUUGUUUCUUGUGAUGUGGCGAUAGGCAUAACAAGAUGUCACACAUCAGCAGAUUGUCCGAGUUAUGAAAAUGGGUACCCAAAAUGUAUUUGUAUUGAGUUAAUAUGUAUAUGCCGUUCACUCAACACCCACUCUGUUGAUCAUGAAGAUAGUGGUUCAAGUGGCAAGUAUUAACCUUGAAAAUAUUUCUAUAAAGUUAUAUUGAAAAUGUCUCAUUUCGUCUUGUUUACAUGAUGAAAAAUUUGCAAUAAAAUAAUUAGUUGGUUGCAUCAUGA